GUAAAAUGAUGAAUUUUUUAAAAAAAAUUCUACAUAGUAGUAUCGAACUUUUAUAAAAUACAUACAAACAGUAGCAUUUUUAUAAUAUUUUUCCACAUUCUAACAUCAAAUAAUUGCAUUUAAUUACGUUUGGUUGAACGCUAAAUUAGAAGUUGCUUCUCUCCCAUUUUCAUUUCAAAUUUGACUGUUUAUCAACCCGAAUUACUUCCUCAAGACUUCGAACUUCCCUCUCUCUCUGUAUUCAUCAUCUCCCUCCGUAUUCAUCAUCUCCCUCCAUUCUUCACUUCAUUGCAAUCAACAAAUCAUGGCUGCCCUAAUUUGGAGCGAAAUCCAACAAUGCAUAGGGAUUAUUAGUUGUACUUAUGAAUUUCACUGACGCAUAUGCCGCUUUCAUUGUCACCUUCCUCAGGUUUUACUUGUCUAAUUUAUUCCUAUUUACUCGUAAAUUUUGCUUUCUUACUUGUUUUUUAAAUGUCAUAGGAUUAUUAAUUGUGAUUUUUGUGAAUUUUCACUUUGGUAAUCAACUUUAAGGAAAUGUGGAUGAAGUAAUAUAAAGAGUGUGAAUAAGCUGUUUGAUGAAAGGCCAACGAGAAGAAAUUUUGAGAUAACCAUUCUUUUUUGGUUUAGUUUCUUUGUGAUUAUAAAUCUGAUUUGCUUAUGAUCCUUGAAGCAUGAUCAUAUCUUUUAACUAAACUAUGAUAAGCAUGAUCAUGCCGUUGCUUAAAAUACAUGAUUACUUAGCUUGGAUUGUCGAAGAGAGUGUAAAAUGUGCCAGAUAUUUAAGAAGGGUUUAUGGAGAGGUAUGUGAAUAACAAAAUGCAUGUUAGCUAUCAUCUACCCUAGUGUAAGUUUAAUCCAUCUGUCUCUAAGCAAUGGGAUAACUAAAUUAUCAAAAACAUAUGAGCGAACUUUUUAAAAAUUGAUUAGAGUAUUAAUUUACUUGAUCAAUUUGUUUAAGUUUUAAGGUUAGAAACAUAAAUAAUUCCUUAUGAUGUGAUAUCCUGAAUCAUAUUCAUAAUACUGAUCAUGCCGCAUGGGAAGCAUUUUAGGCCAUUGUUGUAAAGAUAACCUUCAUAGUACCCUAAUACAUACCAAACUGUCCCAAACUCUAAAGGACAGCAGAAAUCACAACUUCAGUUUGUUCAAGUUAGAUUUGAAUGUGCACAUAACUUGGAUCAGUAAACCGGAGUGAGAGCAGGUCGAAAUCCAUGGUGAAGUGAACUCUCCCAGACUUUGUCGACAUCGAAAAGCUUGUCACCACAUUCAUUUACAUUCCAUCCUUCCAAAGCGUGCAAAAUUCCGGCCACACGCCAGGCGCUGAUCACCCUCCUAGGCAACCAGUUCUGCACAUCACAAGCAGAAAACACACAGUUUUAGAAAGUGGCGUAAAGAAUUGGAUGUCAUCCGGAUAAAUUGGGAUCUAGAAAUUGGUGUACUAACCUCACAAGAAUGCAGGUUUCCGAAAGAAGCAGGAACUACCAUUGAUGGAGUGUGGAGAUAUACGCAAUCUUUUCUUGUUUUCUUGGGAGGGAAUUGAGAGAAGGGAAUGAAUAUAGUUCUUUUUGAUGCCAUUGAUUGCUCUUCUUCUGUCAAAUCUUCUCCUACUAACCACACCUGCAUGAUGCAUGAGUAUACUGUUAAAUCAUGGGUGUUUUUGGCAAAUGAAUGUUGGCGGAAGCUCUUGGCAGGACCCAUUCACUGGUUUAACCUGUUGGAAGUAUUCAUUAUUCACUAGUUUGCUAGUUGCUACACAAGUUGUUAUGUAGAUGUUUGAUGAUAAUUAGUUAUUGGGUGCUCGCUAUCUAUUAGAAAGAAAGUGGGUCAAAAAGCCAAAAGUUAAUGAAAAAGCUACUUGUAGUAAUCUUUUGUUCCAGCUCAAAAGCUGCUUUUCAGCUUAUUUGAAUGUUAUAUAUCACAUAUAUUAUUUUUGGCUGUUUGAUCAAUCAAAAAGUCAAAAAUAAAAAGUCUAUAAAAAUGUUAUUUGCCAAAUACAUCCUUUAUCUAGAUUGUUGAUUUUGUCAAGGAAAAUUGUUAUCCAUUCCCUUUGAUACAAUCAAAUGAUCACAAAAAGAUUCACACAUUGCACCCUAUUUACAAAAAUAUGUAUAUUUUCCAUCAAAAAUCAAGUGAAAACACGACUUUUAAGCUUGACUAGAGUAUUAAAAAUUAUAUGGAAAGAGCUGAAAAUAUUACCUUCUGAUUGCAGGCUUUAGCAGAAAGUGCCAAAUUAUUUCCAUCUUCAGUUGAUAGAGCCUUUUUGAGCUUCUCAUAUUCAUUCUUCCUUAGAGUAGAUACCUACAUAUGGCACAAAAUAGCACAGAUCAGCCUCUUCAUGACAAAUAAUAAAAGCAGUGGUGAUAAAAAUCAAUCCAGCCUGCACCUGACCCAAAAAUCUCUUCUAGUUUGGCCUGAAAGCCGAGUCUACAGACUAGAGAUGUUACGAGUCCAAGACCCUAUUAUACUCACUUCGAAUUUUAAGGGUUUGGGUUUCGUUUUCUGAGACCUAAAGGGUAUAGGUCUCAUUUUUUGAGACCCAAUGGAUAUGAGUCUCAUUUUCAAUUCUAUUGGGUAUGGGUUGGAUCUAGAUUUGAUAAAAAUAAUAAAAUGGGUCUUGGUCUGGUUCUAUAGUAUUUGGACUUGGACCAAACCCAAACCGGACUCUGACUCAAACCUUGACCCAGUCUCACUUUUGGACCUGACCAAUGACCAAUUUCAAUCCUACUUAGACCUAUUUUUUUAGACCUUAAUAUGUAAUCCAUAUAUUCAAUUUAACACUUGACCUUAAAAUUUGAAAAUGAUUAAGAACAACAAGAUCAUGACUCAUUUUGAAUUCUAGACCCAUUAAACGGUGGCCCUAAGUCUGAUUUUGAAACUUUUAAACCUUAUGAGUUUGAGUUUGGUAUGUCAAAACUAAAUGGGCAAAAAUCUAUCUGAGACCGAUCUAGACCCGAUUCAUGAACAUCUCUACUAGGCUACUACAUUAUGAUCAACUCCAAACAGAAGCAAUUACUCAACCAAUCAUUGGAUGAUCAAGAUAAAGGCAAGAAGGGUUGAGCAAAAGUAUACCAAUUCC